AGAACGAACGCUGGCGGCAUGCCUAACACAUGCAAGUCGAACGUGAUCCAGGCUUCGGCCUGGUGAAAGUGGCAGACGGGUGAGUAACGCGUGGGAACCUGCCCUGUGGUAGGGAAUAACCGUGGGAAACUGCGGCUAAUACCCUAUGAGUCCUUCGGGAGAAAGAUUUAUCGCCAUAGGAGGGGCCCGCGUCGGAUUAGGUAGUUGGUGGGGUAACGGCCUACCAAGCCUUCGAUCCGUAGCUGGUCUGAGAGGAUGAUCAGCCACACUGGGACUGAGAUACGGCCCAGACUCCUACGGGAGGCAGCAGUGGGAAUAUUGGACAAUGGGGGCAACCCUGAUCCAGCAAUGCCGCGUGGAUGAUGAAGGCCUUCGGGUUGUAAAGUCCUUUCGGCGGGAAGAUGAUGACGGUACCGCAGAAGAAGCCCGGCUAACUUCGUGCCAGCAGCCGC
rnacentral:rRNA from 1 species